CCUGCUAGUACAUGUCUGAAAUUGUUAUUCCCAUUAAACAAUUUAUUAAUUCUUGAUUGUAAAUUGCAAAUCCUCAAAGAUUAGGAAAUCAUCGCCGGUAGAUAAUGCCUUAAGUCGAAAGGAAGUAAACGUUUGCAUAUUUCGCUCACAAUUUAUGACGUUAUCAGAAAAUAGAAUACGUUGCCUAGAAUAUUUGUGUUUAUAAUCUUCUAUAAUUAUAUUUACACUAGGGAUAAAUAUGUCUCUCUUAAAAAGAAAACUAAUAACAAAAUUUUGAUUUUCAUCGAAAAGUUAAUACAUUCUGACGUAUGCGAACCUUUUCAACCCCGUUUUCAAAAUCACUAAAUGUUGUUUCCCUGUGUCAAUGCAUAUUUUUCCUGUUGCAUGCUCUAGCAGUCGUUGCAGAGAAAGGAACGAAGUAACCUUCAACUCAGAAUAUUAAAGUUAUACAUUAUUUUCAUCGACGACGUGUCACGAACUUAUCGCAGUUACAGAUAAAUAUCAUAGCAGAGAGAUGAACGUUUCGACGACUACCACACACUUAUGGAACCAUGUUCUUAAAACUGCAUCUGCGCGUGUGCAACCAACAAAUGCAUUAUUCGAAAAAAAAACUUUCUUACGGAGAUUCCCUUCGCAAUUAUUUGUGUAAAGUAUUGAAACAUAACGAUAUAAUCAUCAAGAUAUCUAAAAAAAUGCCUGACUGUACUAGUAUAUGAUUGUAAAAGUAUUGUACAUAAUGUUUGCAUGUAAUGACUGUAUGUAAUGAUUGUGUGUAAUAAUUGUAUGUAAAAUUCUAAAAACGACAUUGAAAUAUCACCUCGGAAAAGAUUGUAAAACAAUUGACAUUAAAUAUAUUUUCUUGAACCUUA